UGUGGGAGCGAGCCUGCUCGCGAUAGCGGUCUGUCAGCAAUGUUGAUGUUGACUGAUACGACGCUAUCGCGAGCAGGCUCGCUCCCACA
rnacentral:antisense_RNA from 1 species